rnacentral:siRNA from 1 species
CUCCAUUGAUUUUAGUAAGGCUAC